rnacentral:rRNA from 1 species
AUGUACCCCGUGGCUUGGGCUGUAGUUGAGCAGGAAACAAAUGAAUCUUGGAAGUGGUUUGUUGCCUUGCUCAUUAAAGAUAUGGAUAUCAGCAACAAUGGAGAAGGCUGGGUGUUUAUUUCUGAUCAGCAAAAGGGCCUACUAAAUGCAGUGAAGGAUUAUCUUCCUGCUACACAGCACAGGAUGUGUCCUAGACACAUAUAUGCUAACUGGAGGAAGAAACACAGAGAUCAUGAGUGGCAGAAGAAAUUUUGGGCAGUUGCCAAAGCUUCAAACAGGCAAGACUUCAACUACUACAAAGCCAAGCUAGCACAGGAGACACCUGAAGGGGCUAAAGACAUAAUGAGAACAGAAUCUGUUCAUUGGGCUAGGGAAUUUUUUCCAGUGGGUUCAAACUGUGAAUCAAUAGACAACAACCUCUGUGAGUCAUUCAAUCAUGCUAUAGUGGAUGCUAGGUUCUAUCCUAUAAUCUCUAUGCUAGAGAAAAUUAGGAAGAAAAUACUAGUGAGAAUUCAAGAACAAAGAUUGAAAGGAGAGAAGUUUACAGGAAAAAUAUUGUUGGAAAUAUGCCCUAGAGGCAAUAAUAAAAGUAUUAUUAUUAUAUUUCCUUGUUCAUGA